rfam:Oryza brachyantha chromosome 6, whole genome shotgun sequence.
CAGCAGAUGAUGUUAAUACUAAUACAUCACUGAGAUCUUUUGGUUUUUGAUGUCUAAAAAAUCGAGCUUUUUAAAACUGAUGCUUA